AAGGAUUUAAGUUAAUAAAACUAUUAACCUUCAAAGUUGAAAAUACAAUUAAAUGUAAGCCUUA
rnacentral:tRNA from 1 species